rnacentral:rRNA from 1 species
GACGUAGGGCGCGAGCGUUGUCCGGAUUUAUUGGGCGUAAAGAGCUCGUAGGCGGUGUGUCGCGUCGGCCGUGAAAACCUGCAGCUUAACUGUGGGCGUGCGGUCGAUACGGGCAUCACUGGAGUUCGGCAGGGGAGACUGGAAUUCCUGGUGUAGCGGUGAAAUGCGCAGAUAUCAGGAGGAACACCGGUGGCGAAGGCGGGUCUCUGGGCCGAUGACUGACGCUGGAGGAAGCGAAAGCGUGGGGAGCGAACAGG